UACGGGGGGUGCGAGCGUUGUCCGGAAUCACUGGGCGUAAAGGGCGCGUAGGUGGCGUGAUAAGGGUGUGGUGAAAGCCCGGGGCUCAACCCCGGGUCUGCCAUGCCGACUGUCAGGCUGGAGUACUGUAGGGGCAGGCGGAAUUCCGGGUGUAGCGGUGGAAUGCGUAGAGAUCCGGAGGAACACCAGCGGCGAAGGCGGCAUCCUGGACUGGUCCUGACACUCAGGAGCGAAAGCGUGGGGAGCGAUCCGG
rnacentral:rRNA from 1 species